GACGAACGCUGGCGGCGUGCUUAACACAUGCAAGUCGAGCGGAGCGGCGAACGGGUGAGUAACGCGUGAGUAACUGCCCCCCUCUCUGGGAUAACAGUUGGAAACGGCUGCUAAUACCGGCUAGUGGGGGAUGACUCGAGUCCUAUAAGCUUGUUGGUGGGGUGAUGGCCUACCAAGGCGGGGACGGGUAGCCGGCCUGAGAGGGUGACCGGCCACAUUGGGCUGAGAUACGGCCCAGAGUCCUACGGGAGGCAGCAGUGUGGAAUAUUGCACAAUGGGCGACAGCCUGAUGCAGCGACGCCGCGUGGGGGAUGAAGGCUUUCGGGUUGUAAACCUCUGUCGCGAUCGAACGGGUAGGUGGAGAAGAAGCGCCGGCUAACUACGUGCCAGCAGCCGCGGUAAUAC
rnacentral:rRNA from 1 species